rnacentral:lncRNA from 1 species
AAAGGUGAAUUUUUUCUGUCAUGAUCAAGUUGUCAAUGCAAUACGCACUAUUUUUCAUUUAUUUGCAGUAUAGAUUGGUUUGGAGAAUAGUCAAAAUAUUUUAAGAUAAUAAAAGAUAUUAAUCAUUAAAAUAAAAAUUAUAUCUUAAUCAUAUUUUUCAAAUUAGACAGGUGUGCCUUUUCAAUAUUAAUUUAACAUAUUUUUUUAAACAUAAUAUUAAUGUAAAUAUAUAUGUAAGGUAAUCAAUAGCAUAUUUGAUGUUGCAUUUCACAACCACGAUGACAUGGUGCAGUAAGAUUCAUCUAGCUCAUGAUUUAACUAGCAGCCAAGUGCAUCUAAAAAUUCUCUAAGAUAUUCUUAUCAUGCCCCCUUUAAGCUAACUUGGAAGCCGAGAUGAGAAGACCAAAAGCAACCGACCUCUAAGACCAACAUCUUUCAGCUCAGCUCGGCAACCUCGGCCAUUGAUCUGAGCAGGCACAUUCCCCUUGCAGAUGAAGUGGCUUAGUCUCUCUGCAUCAAAUGUAUGCACGAUAACAGCAAUUCCACCACAUGCCAGGCUAUUACAACACAACUCUAUAUUUGCUGGGAUAUGAUUUGCUAGAUAUUCGGAAUACGAGUUAUAAAUAAACUGAGGGCCUUAUACAAAAAGAUAACAUGAAAAUCACUAUAGCCAAGAACAGUCUAUCCCUUUACUUUCUUUUUCAUUCUUCCUUCCCAUUUCAAAUCCUCUCCGAUUUAAGCAUCGAAGGCUUAGACUAGGACCAAUCCGACAAGUUCUCACUUUUGUAUGCUGUCUCAUAGG